rnacentral:rRNA from 1 species
ACGGCAUAGUCUUGUCGAUCUGCACAGCAGACCACCCGCGAACAAGUUCUAAAAACCAAGGCACCGGUCGGUGCAAGGAAUACCUUGCUCUCGAUCGGAGCCCAACGGUGCCACGGCAUCUUGUCGUGGCGCUGAACAAACCCCCGGCGCGAGAAGCGCCAAGGAAUACUUUAACGAGAGCUUGAACCUUCCUCUCCCGUUCGCGGGGUUUAGGGGUUGGAAAACGGUUUCUUUAUAAACCACACCAACUCUCGGCAACGAAUAUCUGGCUUCUCGCAUCAAUAAGAACCGUACCGAAUUGCAAUACUGGUGGUGAAUUGCAAAUUCCCGGGAACCAUCAAGUCUUUGAACGCAGGUGGCGCCUGAGGCCAUUAGGUUAAAGGAACGUCUGCUUGGCCGUCACACUUCGCGUCACCCCAUCCAAAAUAUUGUUGAAUGUGUGGAAUGGUGACUUCCUGUGUCUGGAGAUGCAGUUGGUCAAAAUUCAAGUCCGAAGCUAAGAACUCCACGACAAGUGUUGGUUGAAUACACCUCGCGUCAUGUUGUGUGCCAAACUCUCCGUGCUCCGUAGACCCUAAGGCGCGUGCUUUCCACCUCGUUCGUUGGAAAACCGUGCUACAACGCCAACCCCAGGUCAGGCGGAAUUACCCGCUGAAUUUUAAGCAUAUCAUAGGCCGAAAGGA